rnacentral:rRNA from 1 species
CUACGGGAGGCAGCAGUGGGGAAUAUUGCGCAAUGGACGAAAGUCUGACGCAGCGACGCCGCGUGGAGGAAGAAGGUUUUCGGAUUGUAAACUCCUGUUAAGUGGGAAGAAAUACGCAUGGCUAAUAUCCAUGUGGGCUGACGGUACCACUAGAGAAAGCACCGGCAAACUUCGUGCCAGCAGCCGCGGUAAUACGAAGGGUGCAAGCGUUAUUCGGAGUUACUGGGCGUAAAGAGCGCGUAGGCGGCCUAUUAAGUUAGGUGUUAAAUUCCUUGGCUUAACCGAGGAUCAGCAUCUAAAACUGGUAAGCUAGAGGUCAAGAGAGAGGAGUGGAAUUCUCGGAGUAGCGGUAAAAUGCGUAGAUCUCGAGAGGAACACCGAUUGCGAAGGCAGCUCUUUGGCUUGAAUCUGACGCUGAGGCGCGAAAGCGUGGGGAGCAAACAGGAUUAGAAACCCCUGUAGUCC